UACGGGGGGGGCAAGCGUUGUUCGGAAUUACUGGGCGUAAAGGGCUCGUAGGCGGCCAACUAAGUCGGACGUGAAAUCCCCAGGCUCAACCUGGGAACUGCGUCUGAUACUGGAUGGCUUGAAUUCGGGAGAGGGAUGCAGAAUUCCAGGUGUAGCGGUGAAAUGCGUAGAUAUCUGGAGGAAUACCGGUGGCGAAGGCGGCAUCCUGGACCGGCAUUGACGCUGAGACGCGAAAGCGUGGGGAGCAAACAGG
rnacentral:rRNA from 1 species